rnacentral:rRNA from 1 species
GCUCAAAUUUGAAAUCUGGCACCUUCGGUGUCCGAGUUGUAAUUUGAAGAAGGUAACUUUGGAGUUGGCUCUUGUCUAUGUUCCUUGGAACAGGACGUCACAGAGGGUGAGAAUCCCGUGCGAUGAGAUGUCCAACUCUAUGUAAAGUGCUUUCGAAGAGUCGAGUUGUUUGGGAAUGCAGCUCUAAGUGGGUGGUAAAUUCCAUCUAAAGCUAAAUAUUGGCGAGAGACCGAUAGCGAACAAGUACAGUGAUGGAAAGAUGAAAAGAACUUUGAAAAGAGAGUGAAAAAGUACGUGAAAUUGUUGAAAGGGAAGGGUUUGAGAUCAGACUUGGUAUUUUGUAUGUCUUGCUUUCGGGUGGGGCCUCUGCAGUUUACUGGGCCAGCAUCGGUUUGGACGGUAGGAUAAUGACAUUGGAAUGUGGCACUACUUCGGUGGUGUGUUAUAGACUUUGUUGAUACUGCCUGUCUAGACCGAGGACUGCGUCUUUGACUAGGAUGCUGGCAUAAUGAUCCUAAAC